rnacentral:rRNA from 1 species
GACGAACGCUGGCGGCGUGCUUAACACAUGCAAGUCGAGCGGUAAGGCUCCUUCGGGAGUACACGAGCGGCGAACGGGUGAGUAACACGUGAGUAAUCUGCCCCUCACUUCGGGAUAAGCAUCGGAAACGAGGUCUAAUACCGGAUACGACCACUUCUCGCAUGGGAUGGGGGUGGAAAGUUUUUCGGUGGGGGAUGUGCUCGCGGCCUAUCAGCUUGUUGGUGGGGUAAUGGCCUACCAAGGCUUCGACGGGUAGCCGGCCUGAGCGGGUGACCGGCCACACUGGGACUGAGACACGGCCCAGGCUCCUACGGGAGGCAGCAGUGGGGAAUAUUGGACAAUGGGCGAAAGCCUGAUCCAGCAACGCCGCGUGAGGGAUGACGGCCUUCGGGUUGUAAACCUCUUUCAGCGGGGACGAAGCGCAAGUGACGGUACCCGCAGAAGAAGCACCGGCCAACUACGUGCCAGCAGCCGCCGUAA